rnacentral:rRNA from 1 species
UACAGAGGUCUCGAGCGUUAGGCGGAAUCACUGGGCUUAAAGCGUGUGUAGGUGGGUCGGUAAGUACCUUGUGAAAUCCCACAGCUUAACUGUGGAACUGCUUGGUAUACUGCCAGUCUUGAGCCAGCUAGGGCUACCGGAACAAAUGGUGGAGCGGUGAAAUGCGUAGAUAUCAUUUGGAACGCCAAUGGUGAAAACAGGUAGCUGGGGCUGUGCUGACACUGAGACACGAAAGCCAGGGGAGCGAACGGG